rnacentral:rRNA from 1 species
GACCCGUGAUCCGGGUUGCGGACAGUGUCUGGUGGGUAGUUUGACUGGGGCGGUCUCCUCCUAAAGAGUAACGGAGGAGCACGAAGGUUGGCUAAUCCUGGUCGGACAUCAGGAGGUUAGUGCAAUGGCAUAAGCCAGCUUGACUGCGAGCGUGACGGCGCGAGCAGGUGCGAAAGCAGGUCAUAGUGAUCCGGUGGUUCUGAAUGGAAGGGCCAUCGCUCAACGGAUAAAAGGUACUCCGGGGAUAACAGGCUGAUACCGCCCAAGAGUUCAUAUCGACGGCGGUGUUUGGCACCUCGAUGUCGGCUCAUCACAUCCUGGGGCUGAAGUAGGUCCCAAGGGUAUGGCUGUUCGCCAUUUAAAGUGGUACGCGAGCUGGGUUUAGAACGUCGUGAGACAGUUCGGUCCCUAUCUGCCGUGGGCGCUGGAGAACUGAGGGGGGCUGCUCCUAGUACGAGAGGACCGGAGUGGACGCAUCACUGGUGUUCGGGUUGUCAUGCCAAUGGCACUGCCCGGUAGCUAAAUGCGGAAGAGAUAAGUGCUGAAAGCAUCUAAGCACGAAACUUGCCCCGAGAUGAGUUC